rnacentral:rRNA from 1 species
AGAGUUUGAUCCUGGCUCAGGAUGAACGCUAGCGGCAGGCCUAAUACAUGCAAGUCGAACGAUAUCAUCCAGCUUGCUGGAUGAGAAAGUGGCGCACGGGUGCGUAACGCGUAUGCAACCUACCUUUAUCAGGGGGAUAGCCCGGAGAAAUCCGGAUUAAUACCGCAUAAAAUCACAGGAUGGCAUUAUCCAAUGAUCAAACAUUUAUGGGAUAAAGAUGGGCAUGCGUGUCAUUAGCUAGUUGGCGGGGUAACGGCCCACCAAGGCGACGAUGACUAGGGGAUCUGAGAGGAUGGCCCCCCACACUGGUACUGAGACACGGACCAGACUCCUACGGGAGGCAGCAGUAAGGAAUAUUGGUCAAUGGGGGCAACCCUGAACCAGCCAUGCCGCGUGCAGGAAGACUGCCCUAUGGGUUGUAAACUGCUUUUAUCCGGGAAUAAACCUACUUACGUGUAAGUAGCUGAAUGUACCGGAAGAAUAAGGAUCGGCUAACUCCGUGCCAGCAGCCGCGGUAAUACGGAGGAUCCAAGCGUUAUCCGGAUUUAUUGGGUUUAAAGGGUGCGUAGGCGGCCUGUUAAGUCAGGGGUGAAAGACGGUAGCUCAACUAUCGCAGUGCCCUUGAUACUGAUGGGCUUGAAUGGACUAGAGGUAGGCGGAAUGAGACAAGUAGCGGUGAAAUGCAUAGAUAUGUCUCAGAACACCGAUUGCGAAGGCAGCUUACUAUGGUCUUAUUGACGCUGAGGCACGAAAGCGUGGGGAUCAAACAGGAUUAGAUACCCUGGUAGUCCACGCCCUAAACGAUGAACACUCGCUGUUGGCGGUACACAGUCAGCGGCUAAGCGAAAGCGUUAAGUGUUCCACCUGGAGAGUACGCCCGCAAGGGUGAAACUCAAAGGAAUUGACGGGGGCCCGCACAAGCGGAGGAGCAUGUGGUUUAAUUCGAUGAUACGCGAGGAACCUUACCCGGGCUUGAAAGUUAGUGAAUGAUUUAGAGAUAGAUCAGUGAGCAAUCACACGAAACUAGGUGCUGCAUGGCUGUCGUCAGCUCGUGCCGUGAGGUGUUGGGUUAAGUCCCGCAACGAGCGCAACCCUUAUCCUUUGUUGCCAGCACGUAAUGGUGGGAACUCAAAGGAGACUGCCGGUGAUAAACCGGAGGAAGGUGGGGAUGACGUCAAGUCAUCAUGGCCCUUACGAGUAGGGCUACACACGUGCUACAAUGGCAUAUACAAAGAGAAGCAAACUCGCGAGAGCAAGCGGACCUCAUAAAGUAUGUCGUAGUCCGGAUUGGAGUCUGCAACUCGACUCCAUGAAGUCGGAAUCGCUAGUAAUCGUAGAUCAGAAUGCUACGGUGAAUACGUUCCCGGGCCUUGUACACACCGCCCGUCACACCAUGGGAGUGGGUUGCACCAGAAGUAGCUAGUCUAACCUUCGGGAGGACGGUUACCACGGUGUGAUUCAUGACUGGGGUGAAGUCGUAACAAGGUAACCA